AGGGGGCCGGAGGGGGCGGGCAUAGCCCUUCCAGGAGCUUGUCUCAUGCUCGCCCGUGUCUGUCGUCCGUGGCUGAGCUUCUGACCCACUGUGUGCUGGUGUCAUCGUGCCCGUGGUAGCCAUGAGCAAGCUGGGGCACAGAGAGGUGCAUCGCUCCCCCCAGGUCACACAGCAGCGGGAGAAACCAGGCCGGGGCAACGUGCCAGGUGGCUGGUGACCCCGAAACACGGCCUUAGUGCUCACUCCACACUUGGUGACCCUGGGCGAGGGACAUGCGUGGGUGGCGUAUUUCCAUUGUGACGUGGCGGUGACGGGAGGACGCCUGUCUUGGGCUGGCAGUGCCGGUCAGCACAGGCCCUCUCUUGCUGGUGCAGCGGGUGACACCUCCCCAACCCCCCGGCUCCCUGGGGGUAUCUUCCCGUGACCUAGGUGUAUCUGGGACAUGUUGUCGUCCUCCACACCUGGAGUUGUAAACUGUCCCUGCAGGUCCCCAGCCCCCAGGAAGGCAGCGAAGAGGACGGAGACAGUGACUGAGCGGGGACGCCCCCGGAGACACGUGCACCAGGAGCCGCCGCCGCUGCCACCGGCCGCAUCCCUCGCCAAGACGGGAGCCAAGACGCGGCCUCGCAACCUCAGGACCUCGAGACCCACAUCACUCUCAGUUUCCCUCAGGAGAACCGGCCGCCAACCUGUCUCAGCUCAGCGUGAACUCUGUACACCUCAGCGUGUAAAGACACUAUUUUUUUAAGGAAAUGAUUUUCUUACUAAAUAGAUACAAGCUUUGCUUAGUUA